rnacentral:rRNA from 1 species
UACGUAGGGUGCGAGCGUUGUCCGGAAUUAUUGGGCGUAAAGAGCUCGUAGGCGGUGUGUCACGUCGUUCGUGAAAACCUGCAGCUUAACUGUGGGCGUGCGGUCGAUACGGGCAUCACUGGAGUUCGGCAGGGGAGACUGGAAUUCCUGGUGUAGCGGUGAAAUGCGCAGAUAUCAGGAGGAACACCGGUGGCGAAGGCGGGUCUCUGGGCCGAUACUGACGCUGAGGAGCGAAAGCGUGGGGAGCGAACAGGA